UGGGGAAUAUUGCGCAAUGGGGGGAACCCUGACGCAGCCAUGCCGCGUGAAUGAAGAAGGCCUUAGGGUUGUAAAGUUCUUUCGGUAUUGAGGAAGGUUGAUGUGUUAAUAGCACAUCAAAUUGACGUUAAAUACAGAAGAAGCACCGGCUAACUCCGUGCCAGCAGCCGCGGUAAUACGGAGGGUGCGAGCGUUAAUCGGAAUAACUGGGCGUAAAGGGCACGCAGGCGGUUAUUUAAGUGAGGUGUGAAAGCCCUGGGCUUAACCUGGGAAUUGCAUUUCAGACUGGGUAACUAGAGUACUUUAGGGAGGGGUAGAAUUCCACGUGUAGCGGUGAAAUGCGUAGAGAUGUGGAGGAAUACCGAAGGCGAAGGCAGCCCCUUGGGAAUGUACUGACGCUCAUGUGCGAAAGCGUGGGGAGCAAACAGGAUUAGAUACCCUGGUAGUCCACGCUGUAAACGCUGUCGAUUUGGGGGUUGGGGUUUAACUCUGGCGCCCGUAGCUAACGUGAUAAAUCGACCGCCUGGGGAGUACGGCCGCAAGGUU
rnacentral:rRNA from 1 species